ACAUGCCUACAACAUAGCGUUAACGCAUGGAAUCCCAUUAGAACUCCAUAGUUAAUCAUGCUCGGGCUAGAGUAGCAUUGGGAUGGGUGAUCGCUAGGCAAGUCCUAGUAUUUUACAUGUC
rnacentral:rRNA from 1 species